rnacentral:rRNA from 1 species
AAAGAACCACAGGGAUUGCCCCAGUAACGGCGAGUGAAGCGGCAACAGCUCAAAUUUGAAAUCUGGCCCUAGGCCCGAGUUGUAAUUUGCAGAGGAUGCUUUGGGCGCGGUGCCUUCCGAGUUCCCUGGAACGGGACGCCAUAGAGGGUGAGAGCCCCGUCUGGUCGGACACCAAGCCUAUGUAAAGCUCCUUCGACGAGUCGAGUAGUUUGGGAAUGCUGCUCAAAAUGGGAGGUAUAUGUCUUCUAAAGCUAAAUACCGGCCAGAGACCGAUAGCGCACAAGUAGAGUGAUCGAAAGAUGAAAAGCACUUUGAAAAGAGAGUUAAAUAGCACGUGAAAUUGUUGAAAGGGAAGCGUUUAUGACCAGACUUGGCCCGGUUGAUCAUCCAGCGUUCUCGCUGGUGCACUCUGCCGGUCCAGGCCAGCAUCAGUUCGUCGCGGGGGAUAAAGGUUUCGGGAAUGUGGCUCCUCGGAGUGUUAUAGCCCGUUGCGUAAUACCCUGCGGUGGACUGAGGUCCGCGCUCUGCAAGGAUGCUGGCGUAAUGGUCAUCAACGACCCGUCUUGAAACACGGACCAAGGAGUCGUCUUCGUAUGCGAGUGUUCGGGUGUAAAACCCCUACGCGUAAUGAAAGUGAACGGAGGUGGGAGCUUCGGCGCACCAUCGACCGAUCCUGAUGUUCUCGGAUGGAUUUGAGUAAGAGCAUACGGGGCCGGACCCGAAAGAAGGUGAACUAUGCCUGUAUAGGGUGAAGCCAGAGGAAACUCUGGUGGAGGCUCGCAGCGGUUCUGACGUGCAAAUCGAUCGUCAAAUAUGGGCAUGGGGGCGAAAGACUAAUCGAACCUUCUAGUAGCUGGUUUCCGCCGAAGUUUCCCUCAGGAUAGCAGUGUUGAACUCAGUUUUAUGAGGUAAAGCGAAUGAUUAGGGACCCGGGGGCGCUAUUUUGCCUUCAUCCAUUCUCAAACUUUAAAUAUGUAAGAAGCCCUUGUUGCUUAAUUGAACGUGGGCAUUCGAAUGUAUCAAC